rnacentral:misc_RNA from 1 species
GAACGCACAUUGCGCCCUCUGGUAUUCCGGAGGGCAUGCCUGUUCGAGCGUCAUUAUCACCCCUCAAGCCCGGCUUGUUGUUGGAUGCAGCGCUUAUCCCGCUCCUCCCAAAGAUAAUGACGGCGUCUGCGACGACUCCUGUACACUGAGCUUUCGGGCACGUACACGGCUAGAAGUCCAGACCCGGUCGCCGUCCCCCCCGCGGGGGACACCCAUUACCACAAGGUUGACCUCGGAUCAGGUAGGAAUACCCGCUGAACUUAAG